UCUCUUCCAGCACGUGAUCCACCAUGGCUCAUUGACUUCUCCUGAUGGGAGCUUUCGGAAUCUCCAGCAGAGGGAGGCCCUGUUGCUUCAUCAGGCCGACUUAUUCAUAUUCUCAACUGCCUUGGCCUAGCCAGUAGGGCUUAAUGGUGACCCACCAUCCUCUGUUCUUCAUGACAAAUCCUGGUCAUCUCAUUCAACACAUCCCUUCCUUCUCUUACGUUGAGGGAUGGGGAAGUUAACCAAGCCAGGUUGGGAAGUGAGUGGACAGGAUCCACACCAGGGGGCUGAUCAGAGGACGUGGUGGUUCACACCCACAGUAGCCUCUGGACUGUACCCGCCAGGUUCCUCUGUCCAUGGCAUUUUCCAGGCAAGAAUACUGGCGUGGGUAGCCACUUCCUUCUCCAUCUUUAGAGGGCACACCUGAACCAAAGGUACUCGUUUAGGAAAGGCUGUGUGUGUUUCUAGUCAUUGAGACCUGUCAGCUCCCCCCAUGAGAAGAAAAAUCUGAUAAGCUUUUUUGUAUACUGAGAGACUCAAUGAACCCCUCUUCCUCUACAAAGCCAAUCUGUAUCCUAAAAGAUGAUCAAGAUAGAGAGUGACUCCGGGCUCAGAUAAAGGACUCCACUCUGCUGCCACCGAGGCUUCGGCGUGGGCCCCUUGUGCUGCUCACACCUCACCACGGAGUCAGUCAGCCAUCAGCCCGGCCUCUGCCUGAGAGACUUCAGGCCCCGCUGGUGCAGAGCGAGUGUAGCAAAGCCCCCUG
ensembl:lncRNA